ensembl:lncRNA
CCCACCAGGGAGAAUGUGGGGUGGCCCUGGAGGCCCCGCAUUGGCAGGGCUCUGCCAGAUGGAGCAGAAGGCCAGUGAAUGUGUGCCAUGGGGUGAGGCCACAGCACUGCCCAGAGGGGCAGCCACCCUGACCUGGACCCCUGGAGGACCUCUUUGGGGCUGUGUGACCCCUCGCCCCUACCCAGAGUUUUUGUGGGACCCCAAAGAGGAACCCAAUUUUAAAUGCCUCUCAGUGGAUGGUUCAUAAUCAAUCAGAAGGGGGCAAUCUGAUGUUAUUUGCACCUUGAGGAGAGGAAUUCCUUGUGAGUGAAAGGCAAAGAUAGCAAGGGUAGCAUUUGUUUGGGUCUUAGAAUCUGAGCAAGUCAGCCCCAGACAAAACUGCUGAAGGGUGUUUUUCAUCUGGUGGUUUUGGUUUUCUUGAUAUCAAACUGAUAGGGGCGCAAGGAGGUGUGUACAGCAAACCAUACACACACCGCAACAACCCAGGACCGAGGGAGAACGGGAAGAGAGAGAGCAGGGUCCCAACCCCACUCCCGUUCAUAUUAACUCCAGUCCAUGUGAAUACACCAUGGCCUGCAUGUGUCACACGUUCCAGGAUCCGUGUCACAUGGGCAAGGGAGGUGGGUGCAGGGACCUUAGGUAAAGAAAAGAUGUCGAGAGAGGGCCACUGGCCCUGGCAGUGAUGCCUGGGCCCUGAGGCUGGGAGAGUGACUAGGGCAGCUCUUCAGGGGCCGUCCAAGCGGUGAGGGACAGGCAAAAAUGAUGGGUAUGAAGCAUGGAGAUGCUACCACAGCCACCAUCCAACCUGCAGGCAAUGCCCGGAGGCUUCAGGGCAUCUGCUGGGCGCCUGUGUCUGCCCUUCUCUCAUGCCGAGUGUCCAGUGGUGACGCACUCAGACCUUGACACCUGAGUGGAUUCAUGUGGGUUCACCUGGCAACUUUGUACGUUCCCAUAAACGGCCUGUGCCUAGCAGGGACUUCCUGCCUGAUUUCUUUCAGGAAUGACAUUGUUAUCCCCCAAAGUCCCUGGUUUGCUGACAUUACAUCCACUCUGGGUUUAGGACAUUCUGUGAGUUUGGACCAGUGUGUGGUGGCCUGUAUCCAUCAUUACGGUGUCAUUGAGAGUAUUUGCACUGCCCUAAAGACCUCUGGGCUUUACUUCAUCAUCCCCACCCUUUCCCCUGGCAAUUGUUUAUCUUUUUACUGUUUUCAUAGUUUUUCCUUUUCCAAAAUGGCCUACAGUUGGAAUCAAACAGUACGUAACCUUUUCAGGUUGCUUCUGUCACCUAGAAAUAUGCAUGUAAGUGUUUUCUGUGUCAUUUCAUGACUCAAUAGCUUAUUGCUUUUUGGUGCUGAGUGAUAUUCCAUUAUCUGGAUACCCCCCAGUUUAUUGAUCCAUACUGCAUGGCGUCUUGGUUGUUUCCAGUUUGGGGCAGCUUUGAAUAAAGCUGCUAUAAAUAUAAAAUUUUAAACAUGAUUUUGUAAUACCCUUCUUUCAUUCAACAAUAUAUCAUGGGAGUUCCUGUUGUGGCUCAGUGGUAAUGAACCAAACUAGUAUCCAUGAGGACGAAGGUUUGAUCCCUGGCCUCUCUCAAUGGGUUAAGAAUCCAGCAUUGCUGUGAGCUGUGGUGUAGUUCACAGAUGUGGCUCAGAUCUGGCUUUGCUAUGGCUGUGGUGUAGGCUGGCAGCUGUAGCUCCAAUUCGAUCCCUAGCCUGGGAACGUCCAU